rnacentral:rRNA from 1 species
GACGAACGCUGGCGGCGUGCCUAAUACAUGCAAGUUGAGCGAUGAAGCUUGGUGCUUGCACCAAUUUGAAGAGCAGCGAACGGGUGAGUAACGCGUGGGGAAUCUGCCUUUGAGCGGGGGACAACAUUUGGAAACGAAUGCUAAUACCGCAUAACAACUUUAAACAUAAGUUUUAAGUUUGAAAGAUGCAAUUGCAUCACUCAAAGAUGAUCCCGCGUUGUAUUAGCUAGUUGGUGAGGUAAAGGCUCACCAAGGCGAUGAUACAUAGCCGACCUGAGAGGGUGAUCGGCCACAUUGGGACUGAGACACGGCCCAAACUCCUACGGGAGGCAGCAGUAGGGAAUCUUCGGCAAUGGACGAAAGUCUGACCGAGCAACGCCGCGUGAGUGAAGAAGGUUUUCGGAUCGGAAAACUCUGUUGGUAGAGAAGAACGUUGGUGAGAGUGGAAAGCUCAUCAAGUGACGGUAACUACCCAGAAAGGGACGGCUAACUACGUG